rnacentral:rRNA from 1 species
UACGUAGGGUGCAAGCGUUAAUCGGAAUUACUGGGCAUAAAGCGCGUGUAGGCGGCAUUGUAAGUCGGGUGUGAAAUCCCUCGGCCUAACCGAGGAAUUGCGCUCGAAACUACUUUGCUUGAGGAUCAGAGGGGAGCCUGGAAUUCCUGGUGGAGCGGUGAAAUGCGUUGAUAUCAGGAGGAACACCGGCGGCGAAGGCAAGGCUCUGGCUGAUUUCUGACGCUGAGACGCGAAAGCUAGGGGAGCAAACGGGAUUAGAAACCCUUGUAGU